CAAUGUAGCUCAGCUGGUAGAGCACCGCAUUCGUAAUGCGACGGUCGACGGUUCGAAUCCGCCCAUUG
rnacentral:tRNA from 1 species